rnacentral:rRNA from 1 species
CUUUUUUCCUUAGUGAUGAUACCUCGGGAACUGAGAAUAAUGCCCGAUAGAACAUUAUGCCUGGAAUGGUUUAUGUUUCAAAUGAUUUAUCGCCAUAGGAUGGGACUGCGGCCUAUCAGUUUGUUGGUGAGGUAAUGGCCCACCAAGACUAUUACAGGUACGGGCUCUGAGAGGAGUAGCCCGGAGAUGGGUACUGAGACACGGACCCAGGCCCUAUGGGGCGCAGCAGGCGAGAAAACUUUGCAAUGUGCGAAAGCACGACAAGGUUAAUCCGAGUGGUUUCUGCUAAAGAAACCUUUUGUCAGUCCUAGAAACACUGACGAAUAAGGGGUGGGCAAGUUCUGGUGUCAGCCGCCGCGGUAAAACCAGCACCUCAAGUGGUCAGGAUGAUUAUUGGGCCUAAAGCAUCCGUAGCUCGUUUUGUAAGUUUUCGGUUAAAUCCAUGCGCUUAACGUAUGGGCUGCCGGGAAUACUGCAUAACUAGGAAGUGGGGGAGGUAGACGGUACUCGGUAGGAAGGGGUAAAAUCCUUUGAUCUAUUGAUGACCACCUGUGGCGAAGGCGGUCUACCAGAACACGUUCGACGGUGAGGGAUGAAAGCUGGGGGAGCAAACCGGAUUAGAUACCCGGGUAGUCCCAGCUGUAAACUAUGCAAACUCAGUGAUGCAUUGGCUUGUGGCCAAUGCAGUGCUGCAGGGAAGCCGUUAAGUUUGCCGCCUGGGAAGUACGUACGCAAGUAUGAAACUUAAAGGAAUUGGCGGGGGAGCAC